rnacentral:rRNA from 1 species
CGCCCACCGGGCCCACUCACACUAAAUACCUGGUCGACAUUUUUCGGUUGGGGCGACCUUGGAGAAAAAUAAAUCCUCCAAACCCACAGACCACAACUCUUCACCAAGAUCAACUUAUCAAAGUACUAAUAGUAAUUAGACCCAAUACAAUUGACCAAUGAACCAAGCUACCCCAGGGAUAACAGCGCAAUCUCCUCCAAGAGCCCGUAUCGACAAGGAGGUUUACGACCUCGAUGUUGGAUCAGGACAUCCUAAUGGUGCAGCCGCUAUUAAGGGUUCGUUUGUUCAACGAUUAAUAGUCCUACGUGAUCUGAGUUCAGACCGGAGCAAUCCAGGUCGGUUUCUAU